rnacentral:lncRNA from 1 species
UGUUUUCAUAAUCGGGGGGAAGAGGAGGUGCAUUCAUUUUCAAGAAAACUGCCCUGCUCAACAGGGAUGCUGAGAAACUGGUAGAUCAAAACUGAAGAUGGUUGUGAGAGAUAAAGCAGAAAUUUCCAGAGUCUUCAUCUGCCUGCUGCUUUACAGAUUAAACAUAGCGCAUUGCUUCGGGGGAGGCUGGCAGAUUUGGAAAACGAAGUGCAUCUCCUGGGUGGCUUCCCGGCUCCCUGCACAGGACCAAGAGGCAUAAGCUCCUAAAGACCUGAGCCUCUGUUUGGCAAACCCAUAUGUGGGAAGAUGAAAGCAGUCGGAGGCCUUUUGGAAGGGACCCAUGUGGCCUGCAGUACCUCUGGCAGACUGUCUUUUACAGAGAUGUCAAUGAGGU